ACAUAGUAAAGCACAGCACAAGGUUACAAGAUUACAUAACAUAAAUACGGCACCCAUAAGUAAUAUAAAACAGAGGAAAACACACAGAUUCAUAAUAAAACAUGGGACACGGACUCCUAACAGGAAUAAACCCCCACCAAGUAGUUCCCUAUACUAGCGACUCAGACUGGCCCUAGUCCACUGCCCUGAUUCGCGUCCUCCAGACCUUCCUAUCUAGGGUCAUGUCCUCGGUGAGCUGUAACUGCUCCAUGUCUCGCCUAAUCACCUCACCCCAGUACUUCUUCGGCCUACCCCUACCCCGCUUAAAACCAUCCAACGCUAGCCUCUCACACCUACGGACCGGGGCAUCCACGCCCCUCCUCUUCACGUGUCCGAACCAUCUCAAUCGGGCUUCCCGCAUCUUGCACUCCACUGGUGUCACACCAACCUUCCCCCGGAUGUUUUCAUUCCGAACUCUAUCCCCUCUAGUCAGCCCACACAUCCAGCGCAACAUCCGCAUUUCUGCCACCCUCAUCUUCUGGAUGUGGGAGUUCUUAACUGGCCAACACUCC
rnacentral:lncRNA from 1 species